GACGAACGCUGGCGGCGUGCUUAACACAUGCCAGUCGAACGGUGAAGGGACCGGUUUUUGCUGGUUCUGGAUGAGUGGCGAACGGGUGCGUAACACGUGAGUAACCUGCCCCCUUCUUCUGGAUAACCGCAUGAAAGUGUGGCUAAUACGGGAUAUUCUGCGCCUGCUGCAUGGUGGGUGUGGGAAAGAUAUUGUUUCGGUGGGGGAUGGGCUCGCGGCCUAUCAGCUUGUUGGUGGGGUGAUGGCCUACCAAGGCGGUGACGGGUAGCCGGCCUGAGAGGGUGGACGGUCACACUGGGACUGAGACACGGCCCAGACUCCUACGGGAGGCAGCAGUGGGGAAUAUUGCACAAUGGGCGCAAGCCUGAUGCAGCGACGCCGCGUGAGGGAUGGAGGCCUUCGGGUUGUAAACCUCUUUCGCCAGUGAAGCAGGCCUGUCCCUUGUGUGGGUGGGUUGACGGUAGCUGGAGAAGAAGCGCCGGCUAACUACGUG
rnacentral:rRNA from 1 species